UGUUGCCAGUAGCUCUGCAGUUGUUGUUGCAACUUUGAAAUCAUAGCAUUGUCUGUUGCUCAAGGACAUCUGUUGUCUUUUCUCUUUUUAACAACAGUUGGAAACAUACAGCACAGUGUUACUACAACGUAGAACAAACAAGUGCACAGGGAGGUUUGGAGAAUAUUUAGUCUCAGUGUGGGCGUCCUAAAGAAAUAGUCAGAAGCGCAUGUGCAUACGAAAAACUCAAACUAUUUGUUUUCUUUAGUGAGGGCCCUUAAAUGCAACAUUAUUCAAUUCUGUAGUCCCAACCAGAAUCUACAAAGGUUUAACCAGAGGUGUUCACACCCACCGUAGGUAUUAUAGCAGAAGAGUCACUUUUGGUCUUUGUUAGUGAAACUGAACCCACAACCUUCAACAUGGCAGGCAAAAAUAACCCACUGCACCACUUCUGGUGUAAAAGACAAAAAGACAGGAUCAGAAAAAAAAACACUCUUUAAGACAAAAACUGAGUCAGUGACAGCGACAGGAGAAAAGCGAAUUGCAACAUAACCACAGACUAAAGCUUUUGUGUUUUUUCCUCCCGAGUCUUUCUGUGACCAUAUCCACACCACAAAUGCUCAGCAACAAGUGAGAGUAAAGCCUGAGACAAUAUGGUUCGACUGACCAGAGGUAAACAAGAGUACUUUAUAUUCUGUAAUGCCCCAAGUACAAAUAUUUCAUGUCUGCUAUAAUAAUGGGUAACAUCUUUAUUUUACUGAGUAAACUGCUGGCGUCAUUGUGACACUCCAGAUAAGAUCUGGUUUAGUGUUUCACUUCACCAGUCUCUGUGGCUACAUCAAUUACGACACAAGUGCUUUAGCAACAUUCACGACCUCGGUGCCAUCUUUCAACAUUUUCAGGACAAAAACAAUUACUUCUUGUAACACAGGCUAAGCAGUAAAAAUAUUUCCAAGUCUGGUAUUUUUUUUAAAUUCAGAAUAGAUCUAGGUCUUAAAGACACACACACACACACCAAAAACACAGUUGGAGUAAAGACAAAGCUGUGACUACAACCCCAAAAUGUUAAAGUACAUGCUGUGUUAACAUGGUGUUACAUGGUGUUUAGUAAAGAUUACGCUGUCGAAGAUAUGUAAAUGAAUCUUUAACAGUAUAGGUUUUUUUACAUGUAAACAAAACAAAGUUUUCAGUUUCAGAAAUAUUGAAAAGCAACAAAAAACUGCAGUUGUCACUGAUUUCUCUUGUUUGUGCCUUACAGAGAAAAAAAAACAAUGAUCCAGUCCCUCACAAAAAAACCUCUGGCUAUUCAACACCGUACAUGCCUUUUUUGAGUGUCUAAUUUGAAAUGUGAAUGUUUAUGUCUGUGCUUAUUAAGCCAUCGCAGGCCAAUUUUCACUAUUAACCUCAUUGAACGUCUUGUCUCCUGGCUAUUUACCCUGCAUAAUGUGAUUCACACUGUGCAAAUUAUAUGCAGCUACAGCUGACCCAAAUAUCUCCCCGCCUCACAGCGGUGUCACUGUGCCAGCUCAAGUGGCUACUUGCGGGUGGCGCCUUCAUUUGAGAGACAAAAGCUGAUUUUGAACAUAUAAUGGUUUAAUGGUCUACAGCUCUUAGGAGGCAGAAAGGAGAGAUUUGUUGGGCAGUUAGUUUCCCCUGUGAUGGCGAAGGUUGUUUUUGUACCAGCCUCUGGUUGGGUGUGUUUUCUCGGCGUGGGAUUUACGGUUAUGGUCUCUAGAUGUUAGUGUAGUAGACUAGUCAUGACCAGGCGUGAAUUGGCGCAGUGGAGUUCUUGCUUGCGGGGGCGGGGGGCAAAACACUUGCCUGCAUUUGGACAGGCUUUAAAAAAUUUACGACAGUGGAUGAGGCCUGUGCAAGAGGGUAGCUAGGACUGAUGAGAGUGUUUUGGAGGGUAAAUGCUCUUUGCUUAGUUUUGAGUGAGAAGACCCUCAGGAAUUUCAUGUCAUACAUGCCCCAAAGAUUACUCAAGCUCUCGCUUCCCAUAAUUAAAAUAAUUAGUAAUUCCUCUUGCCCAAUAUUUUUUUGAUGAUUUCAUCAGCUGAUAAUGAGAUUGAAUCAUUCGCAAAAUCACUCGUGCAUUUCUAAGCCCUUUUGUGCCAGUGAGUGUUUUUUGGUGUGCUGAAACAUUAUGUUUUUU